rnacentral:rRNA from 1 species
AUUGAACGCUGGCGGCAGGCCUAACACAUGCAAGUCGAGCGAGCGGCGGACGGGUGAGUAAUGUCUGGGAAACUGCCUGAUGGAGGGGGAUAACUACUGGAAACGGUAGCUAAUACCGCCUUCCAUCCGCUGUGCCCAGAUGGUAUUAGCUGGUAGGUGGGGUAACGGCUCACCUGGGCGACGAUCCCUAGCUGGUCUGAGAGGAUGACCAGCCACACUGGAACGGAGACACGGCCCAGACUCCUACGGGAGGCAGCAGUGGGGAAUAUUGCACAAUGGGCGAAAGCCUGAUGCAGCAAUGCCGCGUGUGUGAAGAAGGCCUUCGGGUUGUAAAGCACUUUCAGCGGGGAGGCGGUACCCGAAGAAGAAGCAACGGCUAACUCCGUGCCAGCAGCCGCGGUAAUUC